rfam:Salmo salar isolate Sally breed double haploid chromosome ssa21, whole genome shotgun sequence.
UGCAUUCACUACUGUGAGUCGCUCUGGAUAAGAACGUCUGCUAAAUGACUAAAA